UGAGGUUAAGCGACUAAGCGUACACGGUGGAUGCCCUGGCAGUCAGAGGCGAUGAAGGACGUGCUAAUCUGCGAUAAGCGUCGGUAAGGUGAUAUGAACCGUUAUAACCGGCGAUUUCCGAAUGGGGAAACCCAGUGUGAUUCGUCACACUAUCAUUACGUGAAUACAUAGCGUAAUGAAGCGAACCGGGGGAACUGAAACAUCUAAGUACCCCGAGGAAAAGAAAUCAACCGAGAUUCCCCCAGUAGCGGCGAGCGAACGGGGAGCAGCCCAGAGUCUGAAUCAGCAUGUGUGGUAGUGGAACGGUCUGGAAAGUCCGGCGAUACAGGGUGAUAGCCCCGUACACAAAAGUGCAUGUGUUGUGAACUCGAAGAGUAGGGCGGGACACGUGGUAUCCUGUCUGAAUAUGGGGGGACCAUCCUCCAAGGCUAAAUACUCCUGACUGACCGAUAGUGAACCAGUACCGUGAGGGAAAGGCGAAAAGAACCCCGGCGAGGGGAGUGAAAAAGAACCUGAAACCGUGUACGUACAAGCAGUGGGAGCCUCUUUAUGGGGUGACUGCGUACCUUUUGUAUAAUGGGUCAGCGACUUAUAUUCUGUAGCAAGGUUAACCGAAUAGGGGAGCCGAAGGGAAACCGAGUCUUAACUGGGCGUUAAGUUGCAGGGUAUAGACCCGAAACCCGGUGAUCUAGCCAUGGGCAGGUUGAAGGUUGGGUAACACUAACUGGAGGACCGAACCGACUAAUGUUGAAAAAUUAGCGGAUGACUUGUGGCUGGGGGUGAAAGGCCAAUCAAACCGGGAGAUAGCUGGUUCUCCCCGAAAGCUAUUUAGGUAGCGCCUCGUGAAUUCAUCUUCGGGGGUAGAGCACUGUUUCGGCUAGGGGUCAUCCCGACUUACCAACCCGAUGCAAACUGCGAAUACCGAAGAAUGUUAUCACGGGAGACACACGGCGGGUGCUAACGUCCGUCGUGAAGAGGGAAACAACCCAGACCGCCAGCUAAGGUCCAAAGUCAUGGUUAAGUGGGAAACGAUGUGGGAAGGCACAGACAGCCAGGAUGUUGGCUUAGAAGCAGCCAUCAUUUAAAGAAAGCGUAAUAGCUCACUGGUCGAGUCGGCCUGCGCGGAAGAUGUAACGGGGCUAAACCAUGCACCGAAGCUGCGGCAGCGACACUAUGUGUUGUUGGGUAGGGAGCGUCUGUAAGCCGUUGAAGGUGUGCUGUGAGGCAUGCUGGGAGGUAUCAGAAGUGCGAAUGCUGACAUAAGUAACGAUAAUGCGGGUGAAAAACCCGCACGCCGGAAGACCAAGGUUCCUGUCCAACGUUAAUCGGGGCAGGG
rnacentral:rRNA from 1 species